UACGUAGGGACCAAGCGUUGUUCGGAUUUACUGGGCGUAAAGGGCGCGUAGGCGGCGUGUUAAGUCAGCUGUGAAAUCUCCAAGCUUAACUUGGAACGGUCAGCUGAUACUGAUGUGCUAGAGUGCAGAAGGGGCAACCGGAAUUCUUGGUGUAGCGGUGAAAUGCGUAGAUAUCAAGAGGAACACCUGAGGUGAAGACGGGUUGCUGGGCUGACACUGACGCUGGAGGCGACGAAAGCUAGGGGUAGCAAACGGG
rnacentral:rRNA from 1 species